rnacentral:snRNA from 1 species
GGAUGUGAAGGCCAUCUGUCAUGUGUCACCCUGUUGAUUACUGGGUUUGAUUUGUGAUCUGGCUGGCUAGGCUAGUGUCCCCGUCCUCCCUUCCUGUCCCAUGUGUGUCCCUCCUGAAUCUGCAUGCUCAAAAAGGACAACCUUCCCCAAAUAGCGGAGGACUGGUCUCUGGUCAAGGAUACAUGAGUAGCUGUACUCUCCUGUUAGAACCUCCAAACAAGCUCUGAAACUUUAGAAUUUCUUAUAUUAGCAAAGACUUGGAAACACCUCUGUGCCCAUGUGUAGUCCAG